AGCUUCACACAGUGGCAAUUGUUGUAGCCAGUGAGGUUUAUCUGAAGCACAAUUAUUGCUAAUUGAAAACUUUUCCCAGUACCCUGCUGUGAUGACUUGAAAUAGAAUUGGCAUUGGCAGUUUUUGACAGUCCCUGCAGAGA
ensembl:snRNA U4 U4 spliceosomal RNA